CGUAACAUUGUUGACAAUGAUGAAUGCGGAACUCAAGACACAGGCUUUCAGCCUUGGCGAGCUGGAUGCAAUCAUGUAAAUGGCGUAUUUUACUUCCCAUGCUUGCUUUUUACAACGGCGGGGAUGGAUACAACGUGGACUGUUACAGGAGUAAACGACACGAUACAUUUAUCUGAGAAGAUUAAGAAACAUGAGUGUAUAAGGGCACAUAUGGAUAAUACGGUGAAGCUAGCCAUGCUAGGUAGAGUUAACAUGCUACACAGCUGGACGAAGGCCACAGGAUUGUCAGUUCUUAAAGAUUACAUUCUGGAGGAAGUAAAAAAUGCUGAAUAUUUUGCUAUUCAGGCAGAUGAGAUAAUUGACAUUUCCACCCACUGCCAGUUGGUGCUUGUGCUAUGGUAACGUUACAUCAACAAGGAGAACAACAGCGGUUGGCCACAGAGUUUAUCAGGCUCCGGGUUGAAGUGGAUGCAGGCAAUGUCUUCCAGCUCCUUCUGGGGGUUUCCAAGGAGUUCCCAAUCUAGGUGAAAUAUAGAACUUCUCCAGCCCUGGCACUUUGGGUCCCUUAAAUACACGUACAGUACUAUUCCACCAAACCACUACAAAGCUGAACAGUAAGUGCCGUGGACGUGUGUACCAGUGCAAGUUACCCAAAGUACUCACUCACUCUUGACUGAUUCCCUGGUGAUCAGAAGUGGCUGUGGAGUACACAACAUCCAUACUCAAGUAGUCUACCUUGUUGUUCCUCUCUAUCUGUCGCCUCCACUGCUACGUCAACAACCUGGCUUGACUAGGCAAUGGCAUGGGGACAGAGGGAGAGAUUAUUAUAAUUAAUUGGGCGGGUUUAACAUGAUUAUAAAUUCAGAUCCAGAAGUGUUGGAAUUCCCAGACGAAGAUGUGCAAAAAGCUGUACAAUAUAAACAAGACCACUAUUGCAUAAAUGUCUAUUGUCUAAAGGUUAAUGAAUAAUAUUUCACAUUUUUGUUUUAUACCUGUUCAGAGAGGAGUAAUAUACCUGUGUAUGUGAUAGGGCAAUGAAAUCAAGGGUGUUCUUGUUUGUUUAGGGAGUUUGAACUACAGCUGACUUCUCUGCAUGUGCACUGGCGUUUACCACAUGAACAUGCAUGCUUACUUGACAGCAGCACUAAACAGUUUGAACACACUGUAGGUGAAGAAAGGUCUAGAGCAGGCUCUCCUCCUUCCACCUGUUGCUACAUAAUAGCUACUGCCUCUGAGCCAGAGCCAUGGCAUCUGAAACAUGAUGCGGUAAAGAUAUAGGGGGAGGGAUGGAGCUGGCCCAGUGAGAGAUGUUAUUGGGCCAACCCAGUGUCAUAAUAGAAAAUGAACCAAUUAGCUGUGGCCCCUGCUUUAUCGACCAAUCGUUAGAAAUUAAUAUAUAUUUGUUGCCAUACCACCAUGGUGCGUCGGUCCACGGGAAAAAACACCCGGUAUGCCAGAUUACUAAUCCACCACUGGUUCUGGCUCUAGCCUGGGGUCUCCUACUAGUUGGAUAUGCCAGGAAAACCUCCAAAGGGCACUCAGAAGGCACCCUUAACAGUAGUCCAGACCAUGUCAACUGACUCCUUUUGACGUGAAGGAACAGUGGCUUUACUCCAAGCUCCCUCUGGAUAUCUCGGAUCCUUACCCAAGUCCAAGGGUGAGCCCAGUCACUCUACGGAGCUACCUCAUUUCAUCUGCUUGUUUCUGCAGUCUUGUUCUUUUGGUCAUUACACAAAGCCCAUGAUUAAAGUGAGUGAGAGUUCGAACAUAGAUGACUGGUAAAUCAAGAGCUGCACCUUCAGGCUCAGUUCCUUCAACUGCAUUGGUCCAGUACAAUGCCUGAAUUACUGCUGACGGUGCACCAAUUCACCUGUCGAACUCACGCUUUCAUUUUACCCUCACUUGUGAGCAAGACCCCAGCAUACUUUAACACUAUUAUUUGGGACAAUGAUUCGCUACCAACCUGACAGGGACUGCUUUCUACUUGCUUUUCUCUUUUUCCUUUCACUUUAGUUUUGAGCUGCUACAAAAAUGAUGGUGCAAACCCACAAUUAUCUUCCUGUGGGAGUCAGGAAGACAAUCAGGAAGACGCCCAGAGAUACAGAAAUAUCCAACCUGUGAAUGUAACUCAGGAAUUCUGUCCCUCCCUCACCGAUCCUAAAUAAGCUCUGGUAGGAGACAGACAGUGUUUUACGUCACAGUUCGGCUUGUUGCUAUAUUUUCCAACCAACAAACCUGACAGAUAAAAGAUGGAUUUUUGGGUAAUAGCAUAAGAGGGAUAAGUGAAGGGAUCUAUGCGGUUAAAAGCUCCGAUGUAAUGAUGCGAAUGGUGCACAAUGCAAUAAUUGAGCCAAUCAAAAAACUCAUCCUUUCUUCAUCUUGUUUUGUGUUUUUGUGUCAUUUGCCCACAGGUUAUACCUUAACUAUCCAACUUUGCUUGCAGUCUGGCAGUAGCACUGCUUCAAAAGUAAAACUCUAAAGUGGUGUCAGAAAAUUUACGUUUUUUUCUUCUUCUUCAUAUUAACCCAUGACUAUUGUGAUACAAUAAAGCUAACCCUGUACGAACAACAUGUGUUGAGCAGCAACAAGCCUUUGAUGUGUAAAAAAGGCCUUUCUGACCACAAAAUGGUUUGGCAAACAAACAGAUAAGACGUAACCAUACAAUUUUAAGAGUGUGUUUGUGAAGUGUUAGAUCUCUCCGACCCUGAUACUCUGGCCAUGUCAACAUGUUUAUCAAGUCAAGUCAGGUUUAUCCAUAAAAAUCCACCAUGAAAGUGCAGACAAGCCUUACUUGAUUUACAGACACUAGUCAACAAACACUUAUCAUCAACAUUGUUAUUGAUUUAUAGCCCAGAUUGUGUGAUAUGUAUUUAUUUUUAUCUUAACCUAUUCAAGAAAAGUCAGCUAAGCACUCUUAUGCUUUUACAGUACCCACAGCUACUGUGUCCUGCGGGUGGACACUGGGAUGCGCCCAGUACAACCACAGUCCUGUACUGUUGGCUGCUCAGCAGCAGCACAACAAAUGUCAGUAGUUUUAAUGUACACAGGCUAAUGAGUUUUGAAAACCACUGACAUAGUUUGACUCAAAUAAAAACACAAAGGACAAGA